GAUGAACGCUGGCGGCGUGCCUAAUACAUGCAAGUCGAGCGAACAGACGAGGAGCUUGCUCCUCUGACGUUAGCGGCGGACGGGUGAGUAACACGUGGAUAACCUACCUAUAAGACUGGGAUAACUUCGGGAAACCGGAGCUAAUACCGGAUAAUAUAUUGAACCGCAUGGUUCAAUAGUGAAAGACGGUUUUGCUGUCACUUUUAGAUGGAUCCGCGCCGCAUUAGCUAGUUGGUAAGGUAACGGCUUACCAAGGCAACGAUGCGUAGCCGACCUGAGAGGGUGAACGGCCACACUGGAACUGAGAAACGGUCCAGACUCCUAAGGGAGGCAGCAGUAGGGAAACUUCCGCAAUGGGCGAAAGCCUGACGGCGCAACGCCGCGUGAGUGAUGAAGGUCUUCGGAUCGUAAAACUCUGUUAUUAGGGAAGAACAAAUGUGUAAGUAACUAUGCACGUCUUGACGGUACCUAAUCAGAAAGCCACGGCUAACUACGUG
rnacentral:rRNA from 1 species